rnacentral:sRNA from 1 species
CAGGUGACAAGCAUAACGAAAUAAUGGGUAUCUUAACUGUUCCUGAUACGCCUACCUGAGUUAACAGUAACAUGUAUUUCAAUUAUUUGCCGGCAGUUUGGAUUUUUUAUUUUACAAGAGCCAGUAAAUUUUAAACUAUGUUUGUGGAAGUGACAGUCAGUGUUGCUUCAGCCUUCAUCCUUGUGAUUGCUGCGUUCAGCUGCUUAAGCUGUUUGUUUAAAAAAAAGAACUAUAGAUCAGCUGAUUCCAACAAUGCCCAACACAAUCCUGCAUUUUCUGUUGACAUUUCCGAUGCACCAGGAUCUUUGGAGAGGGUCACUAUUGAACCACUGCCAGACAUUCUGUCUAAAGU